GUGUUUUCAGCUGAACUGCUUGAUCAAACUGUUUAAAACAAGUUUUACACUUUUAAGGUUUUUCUCCACUGUGCAAUAUCAAAUGUCUUCUCAAACCACCUGCUUCACUGAACUGUUUAAAACAAAUUUCACACUUGUGAGGUUUUUCUCCACUGUGCAAUAUCAAAUGUCUUCUCAAACCACCUGCUUCACUGAACUGUUUAAAACAAAUUUCACACUUGUGAGGUUUUUCUCCAGUGUGCGUUUUCAAAUGACUUUUCAAUCCACUUGUUGUAAUAAAUUGCUUUAAACAAGUUUCACACUUGUGCGGUUUUUCUCCAGUGUGCACUCUCAAAUGUUUUCUGAGAUUACCUGCUUCACUAAACCGUUUAAAAC